GUAUCUGAGGUCUGACGAGGAUGAGAACCUCCGGGGGCAAGAGGUUCGACCCGAGCGAAGCGAGAGAACGUUGCGCCAGCAACGGCCCGCAGUGGCAAGUCAUCCUCUGUCACCGGCAG
rnacentral:sRNA from 25 species